rnacentral:rRNA from 1 species
UAGGUGGCGAGCGUUAUCCGGAAUUACUGGGUGUAAAGGGUGUGUAGGCGGGGUUUCAAGUCAGACGUGAAAUCCAAAGGCUUAACCUUUGGUCUGCGUUUGAAACUGAAACUCUUGAGAGUGGGAGAGGUAAACGGAAUUCCUGGUGUAGUAGUGAAAUGCGUAGAUAUCAGGAGGAACACCGGUGGCGAAGGCGGUUUACUGGACCACAACUGACGCUGAGACACGAAAGCGUGGGGAGCAAA